UACGAAGGGGGCUAGCGUUGCUCGGAAUCACUGGGCGUAAAGGGUGCGUAGGCGGGUCUUUAAGUCAGGGGUGAAAUCCUGGAGCUCAACUCCAGAACUGCCUUUGAUACUGACGAUCUUGAGUUCGGGAGAGGUGAGUGGAACUGCGAGUGUAGAGGUGAAAUUCGUAGAUAUUCGCAAGAACACCAGUGGCGAAGGCGGCUCACUGGCCCGGAUACUGACGCUGAG
rnacentral:rRNA from 1 species